GCGCCAGUGGUUUAGUGGUAAAAUCCAUCGUUGCCAUCACUACGAGCCUCUUCUGAGGCUCGGUGACAUCUCGAUGGGCCCCGCGUUCGAUUCGCGGCUGGCGCA